CUCACAUUCAACAUUAUUUCAUCAUUCUGAGCAAUGUAUUUUGCGGGGGAUUCUUACAGCAAAUCUGCUUCCAACAAUAAAACAACAAAUUCUCACAAUUUAAUAAUAAUAAAUCUCACAAAUUAAUUGGAUUAUUUAAUAUGGUGUUUUGUCAAAGUGGAAGAUCUUUGGGUGUAGGCAAAAUCAAUCUUCUACAACAAAUGUAAUCUUCAAAUCCCAGCUGGUGUGUAGCUCCAGGAAACAGUGCAUGAACCACAGUCCUACAGCAACAAAAUGCAAUCUUCAAACCUUUGUGCUUAAGGGGGAGCAGAGAUCUGCAACAUGAUACUUGGGAAAAUUUUGAUUGUACACAAUGCUGUAACAUACAUUCCAAAAUGGUUAAGUUUGUGCUUGAAAUUUGAUGAGAAGUUCCGUCUGCCGAAAAUGUAACAAAGUGCUGCAGAGAUUUCUCAAUAGUUAUUAAAACAGAUUCUACACCCUGUAGAGCAUUCAUCACCAACCUCAUCAAACUGGACUCGGAGACAGUGGAAGUAAGAUAAAUAAAAUGAGGAGGGAGAGUGAGAGGACACGCCAGUUUGAGAAGGAACGGAAUCCCAGGAUCUAGACGGUAUCCAUGGGUUAUCGGGCUUCAGCUUCUCCAUCAGAGAUGGCAAGAUUUUCUUUGAUUUUCUUACGUCUGUUCAAGUAAGAUGUGGCGGAUUUCAAGGUUUUGGGGGCGUAAAUUGGGCGGGUUGGAUUAUGAGGAGUAGAUUG
rnacentral:lncRNA from 1 species